AGCUAAAGCAUGAUGCUAUAUCUAUUUUGAAAAUAGAUUAUUAAUGUUUGAUUCAUUAGUUGGUUU
rnacentral:tRNA from 1 species